rnacentral:rRNA from 1 species
CCUACGGGCGGCAGCAGUAGGGAAUCUUUCACAAUGGGCGAAAGCCUGAAGGAGCAACGCCGCGUGCAGGAUGAAGGCCUUCGGGUUGUAAACUGCUUUUAUAAGCGAGAAAUAUGAUGGUAACUUAUGAAUAAGGAUCGGCUAACUACGUGCCAGCAGCCGCGGUCAUACGUAGGAUCCGAGCAUUAUCCGGAGUGACUGGGUGUAAAGAGUUGCGUAGGUGGCAUAAUAAGUAGCUAGUGAAAUCUGGUGGCUCAACCAUUCAGACUAUUAGCUAAACUGUUAAGCUCGAGACCGUUAGGGGUAACUGGAAUUUGUGGUGUAGGAGUGAAAUCCGUAGAUAUUAGAAGGAACACCGAUAGCGUAGGCAGGUUGCUGGGACGGUUCUGACACUAAGGCACGAAAGCGUAGGGAGCAAACGGGAUUAGAUACCCCGGUAGUC